GACGAACGCUGGCGGCGUGCUUAACACAUGCAAGUCGAACGGAAAGGCCCCUUUGGGGGUACUCGAGUGGCGAACGGGUGAGUAACACGUGAGUAACCUGCCCUUGACUUCGGGAUAACUUCAGGAAACUGGGGCUAAUACCGGAUAGGAAUCCUUGCUGCAUGGUGGGGGUUGGAAAGCUUCGGCGGUUUUGGAUGGACUCGCGGCUUAUCAGCUUGUUGGUGGGGUAGUGGCUUACCAAGGCUUUGACGGGUAGCCGGCCUGAGAGGGCGACCGGCCAACUUGGGACUGAGAUACGGGCCAGACUCCCACGGGAGGCAGCAGUGGGGAAUAUUGCACAAUGGGCGGAAGCCUGAUGCAGCAACGCCGCGUGCGGGAUGACGGCCUUCGGGUUGUAAACCGCUUUCAGCAGGGGCGAAGCUUGUGGUGACGGUACCUGCAGAAGAAGCACCGGCUAACUACGUG
rnacentral:rRNA from 1 species